GGUAGUCACUGUAUUUUAUUGGAAAACAUUGAUAUAUAUUUUUCUUCACAGCUUGAACUGAACACAAUAUUGCCCGGUUUAAAAAAAAAAAAACAAAAAACAAAACAAACAAACCAAAACCUAAACCAAAACACUCCGAAAAUGUCCACAGCCUCACGCCUACCUGCCCUUAACCCUCAGCUCUUGGCUGGGUCUCCCACUACGCCCCGUCCCUCCCCUCCCCUCCCCAGAGGCUGAGAGCCAGAGGGUGGGUGAGGAGAUUCUCAAAGCUGGGCAGGUCCCAAGAAAAGCCACUUGAACGACCUGGGGGCGGGGUGUGUGUGUGUGUGGGGGGGGGGAGGGGGGGGCAAGAUGAACUGAACAGAAAAAGGAAAAGAAGAAUCCAGACGACCGAACUGCCCACAUUGACUUACUUGUCCCAGAGGCGAAAAUCAGAAGCAAGGUCACGGAUCAUGCUCUCCGCUGGGGGAGUGUGGGGGCAGGCAGGCGGGCGAAGGGAGAGAGGGCACAGAGACAGCACGGAUGUUAAGGAGCCAACCAAGUCACCACGGAGAAGCGGGAGGGGCCGGCUGGCCAGUCCUCCGGGCAGCUAGCCGACAACACCGUUUUAUUGCAGGUAUGUUCUCUCGAGAGCGUGGUGGGGCUCGCCUUCCCUCUCCCCACCCUUCGGCUAGCCCGGCAGGGUCUUUGACAGAAUUAGUUUUAAGGGGCAUAAAGAAAAAAAGAAAGAAAGAAAAAAGAAAACCAAACCCAAAGGAUAACCUGUACAUUACAAAGCAACAUCCCCACAUCCGUUCCAGCGAGGGGACCUCGGUGCGGGCGGGCGGGCGCCUCAUGGCGGAGCGGCAUGGGACGUUAGCACCAGGUAUUUACAGAACAGCCGGAGAUCGCUUUCGAAACACGGGUGUGGACAACCUGCAGAGCGGCCCGGCCGAGCGAGCGGCCCCCCCCAGCCCAACCUCAGGAAGUCGAUCGGAUGGUUUCAGAACAGCGGCCGGUGGGAUCUGAGUGUGGUCCGCUCUGUCCGUCCCCUUCGGCGAGUCGGCCCCCUCGACUGGUAAAAGAACGCCGGCUUCCAGGACUCCCUUGCCCCUUGACCCCCUCCUGGGCCACAGCCAGUCAAUACCACAACUCCUCAACUCCCCCCAGGUCCUUCUGGAACGCCUCUCUCGGCACCCCUGCCCCAAAAGGCUGCCGGGAUGUGCACACGGAAUCACGGGGCUGGUUGCAUGCAACAGUAAAAGGCAUGCUCUUCUGUCCGGGUGAGGCCUCGUCCCCUCCCCAGCAGGUCCCGGGACGGGGCUGGCAGCCACCCGGCACCCAAAAUAAGAUGACACACGAAAGUAAACAAACCAAAACGGAGGAGAGCCACCCGGGCUGGAGGAGGAGGGCAGAGGCUCCCCUCAGGGGAAUGGGGCUUCGUCUUAUGAACGCAUCAGGCCUCGGAAGAUGUGAACGGAAGGGGGGAGGGAGAAAGGAAGGGACGGUGGGCACGGGAGGGAGGAGGCUCAAGGAGGGAGAAAGAGCAAUCAUGCAGCUUGGGACAAAUCUUUUGUUGCUUUAUCAG
rnacentral:lncRNA from 1 species